rnacentral:misc_RNA from 1 species
GAUCGCGAUACUAAGCACACUCAUCCCAAAUUGAAUGAGACCGAACGAAACUUGAAUCGUGGUUGGGGCGAUGUGAAGAAGGAGGAGUUGUAUGAGGAUUUGGCUCAGAGUGAUGCUGACAAGCAACUUGCUGAGGAUAAGAUGGAAACAAAAUACGAGAAAAGCAAGCCUGCCCCCUCCGACUAGAAGAAGUGCAUUCAAUUAACAAACUAAGUAUAAUCAACAAUUACUAAAAUUCUACGCUUAAUUCGUGAUGCCUUUUUUUGAUCGAUGAUUUCAUGCCUCAUGACUUUUAGAUACCAAAAAAAAUGUUAAUGACUAAUGAAAGAACACCUUAAAUCUUAUAUG